UACACUCCUACGGGAGGCAGCAGUGGGGAAUAUUGGACAAUGGGCGCAAGCCUGAUCCAGCCAUGCCGCGUGAGUGAUGAAGGCCCUAGGGUUGUAAAGCUCUUUCACCGGUGAAGAUAAUGACGGUAACCGGAGAAGAAGCCCCGGCUAACUUCGUGCCAGCAGCCGCGGUAAUACGAAGGGGGCUAGCGUUGUUCGGAUUUACUGGGCGUAAAGCGCACGUAGGCGGACUAUUAAGUCAGGGGUGAAAUCCCGGGGCUCAACCCCGGAACUGCCUUUGAUACUGGUAGUCUUGAGUUCGAGAGAGGUGAGUGGAAUUCCGAGUGUAGAGGUGAAAUUCGUAGAUAUUCGGAGGAACACCAGUGGCGAAGGCGGCUCACUGGCUCGAUACUGACGCUGAGGUGCGAAAGCGUGGGGAGCAAACAGGAUUAGAAACCCGAGUAGUCCCA
rnacentral:rRNA from 1 species